AGAGUUUGAUCCUGGCUCAGGAUGAACGCUAGCUACAGGCUUAACACAUGCAAGUCGCGGGGCAGCAUGGGGGUUGCUUGCAAUCCCUGAUGGCGACCGGCGCACGGGUGAGUAACGCGUAUCCAACCUGCCCUUCACCACGGGAUAACCCGGCGAAAGUCGGACUAAUACCGUAUGUUGUCCAUUGACGGCAUCCGAUUUGGACGAAAGGCUUAGCGGUGAGGGAUGGGGAUGCGUCCGAUUAGCUCGACGGCGGGGUAACGGCCCACCGUGGCUACGAUCGGUAGGGGUUCUGAGAGGAAGGUCCCCCACACUGGAACUGAGACACGGUCCAGACUCCUACGGGAGGCAGCAGUGAGGAAUAUUGGUCAAUGGGCGGAAGCCUGAACCAGCCAAGUAGCGUGCAGGAUGACGGCCCUAUGGGUUGUAAACUGCUUUUAUGCGGGGAUAAAGGGGCCCACGUGUGGGUUUUUGCAGGUACCGCAUGAAUAAGGACCGGCUAAUUCCGUGCCAGCAGCCGCGGUAAUACGGAAGGUCCGGGCGUUAUCCGGAUUUAUUGGGUUUAAAGGGAGCGUAGGCCGCCCCUUAAGCGUGUUGUGAAAUGCGGGUGCUCAACAUCCGACUUGCAGCGCGAACUGGGGGGCUUGAGUGCGCCGAAAGUAGGCGGAAUUCGUGGUGUAGCGGUGAAAUGCUUAGAUAUCACGAAGAACUCCGAUUGCGAAGGCAGCUUACUGUAGCGCAACUGACGCUGAUGCUCGAAAGCGUGGGUAUCGAACAGGAUUAGAUACCCUGGUAGUCCACGCGGUAAACGAUGGAUGCUCGUUGUCGGCCCUUGCGGUCGGUGACCAAGCGAAAGCGUUAAGCAUCCCACCUGGGGAGUACGCCGGCAACGGUGAAACUCAAAGGAAUUGACGGGGGCCCG
rnacentral:rRNA from 1 species